rnacentral:rRNA from 1 species
UGCGCGGCUACCAUGCAAGUCGAGCGCGAAAGGCUUUCGGGCUGAGUAGAGCGGCGGACGGGUGAGUAACGCGUAGGAAUCUACCUGGUAGUGGGGGACAACUUGGGGAAACUCAAGCUAAUACCGCAUACGCCCUAAGGGGGAAAGCGGGGGACCUUCGGGCCUCGCGCUAUCGGAUGAGCCUGCGUAGGAUUAGCUAGUUGGUGAGGUAAAGGCUCACCAAGGCGACGAUCCUUAGCUGGUCUGAGAGGAUGAUCAGCCACACUGGGACUGAGACACGGCCCAGACUCCUACGGGAGGCAGCAGUGGGGAAUAUUGCGCAAUGGGGGCAACCCUGACGCAGCCAUGCCGCGUGUGUGAAGAAGGCCUUCGGGUUGUAAAGCACUUUAAGUGGGGAAGAAAAGCGGGUCGUUAAUAGCGGCCAGCCGUGACAUUACCCACAGAAUAAGCACCGGCUAACUCCGUGCCAGCAGCCGCGGUAAUACGGAGGGUGCGAGCGUUAAUCGGAAUUACUGGGCGUAAAGCGCGCGUAGGCGGUUUGUUAAGUCAGCUGUGAAAGCCCCGGGCUCAACCUGGGAACUGCAGUUGAUACUGGCCGACUGGAGUACGAGAGAGGGAGGUAGAAUUCCAUGUGUAGCGGUGAAAUGCGUAGAUAUAUGGAGGAAUACCGGUGGCGAAGGCGGCCUCCUGGCUCGAUACUGACGCUGAGGUGCGAAAGCGUGGGGAUCAAACAGGAUUAGAUACCCUGGUAGUCCACGCCGUAAACGAUGUCUACUAGCCGUUGGGAGACUUGAUUUCUUAGUGGCGCAGCUAACGCAAUAAGUAGACCGCCUGGGGAGUACGGCCGCAAGGUUAAAACUCAAAUGAAUUGACGGGGGCCCGCACAAGCGGUGGAGCAUGUGGUUUAAUUCGAUGCAACGCGAAGAACCUUACCAGGUCUUGACAUCCAGAGAACUUGGCAGAGAUGCCUUGGUGCCUUC